GGCGUCGACGUUGCCGGCAUUGAGGUUGAUCAGCACACUGGGACUGAGAUACGGCCCAGACUCCUACGGGAGGCAGCAGUGGGGAAUAUUGCACAAUGGGCGCAAGCCUGAUGCAGCGACGCCGCGUGGGGGAUGACGGCCUUCGGGUUGUAAACCUCUUUCAGUGCCGACGAAGCGUAAGUGACGGUAGGCACAGAAGAAGCACCGGCCAACUACGUGCCAGCAGCCGCGGUAAUACGUAGGGUGCGAGCGUUGUCCGGAAUUACUGGGCGUAAAGAGCUCGUAGGUGGUUUGUCGCGUUGUUCGUGAAAACCGGGGGCUUAACCCUCGGCGAGCGGGCGAUACGGGCAGACUGGAGUACUGCAGGGGAGACUGGAAUUCCUGGUGUAGCGGUGGAAUGCGCAGAUAUCAGGAGGAACACCG
rnacentral:rRNA from 1 species